GAGAGCUGAAUGCUAAAUCCAGGAGGUUUUAUUUCUCACAAAGAAGUCUUCAUCUUAAAGUCACUUGUUAUAGAUGACGUUGUGACAGAGAUCCACUUUUAAGAGGGGACACAGAUUUGGCUAAAGGCAUCUACAUACUCUGUCAUUCUCCUUCUUCAGCAGAGGUAACAACUAUCCUGAAUUUGGAGUUAUUAUUACAAUUAAUAUUUUAAAAUGUUUAUCACACUUAGAAAUGUGGACUAUUGUUUCAUGGGUCUGAAGCUAACAUAAAUGGUAGCAUGCUUUACAUAUCUCCUGCCACUUUCUUGUUUUCACUAGAUAUUCUAUUUUUUUAGAUUGAUGUAUGUUAUAGCUCUAGUUCUAGUUCAUUUAUUUUAACUACAAUAUAGUAUUCCACUGUGUGAUCAUACAAUUUACUGAACCACUCUCAGGUUGAUGAACAUUUAGGCUGUUUCCAAUUAUUUUCCUGUUAUACAUGAUGCUUCAAUGAAUAUUCAUUUAAAUGUCUCCUUAUGCAUUUAAGGGAGAGUUUCUUGGAUAUAUAUAGAGAGAAGUGGAAUUGUUAAAUGUAAGAAAAGGGCCUCUUUAGUUUUAAUAGAUAUUGCUAAAUUGUCUUCCGAUGUAAUUGUACCA
rnacentral:lncRNA from 12 species